rnacentral:lncRNA from 1 species
CUAGGUACAUUGUUUGUCCUCUCUGGGCCUCCGUUUUCUCCUUAGUAUAAAGAGUGCCAGGCAACGGCCAAUGGCUUCUACAAUCCCUUUCAUCCUGGACAGUCCAGUGUUGUGAUACCCUGACACCAAGACCCUUCCUUGGUUGUCUGGCACAGUGCUGCCACAUACCAUCUCAGGAACUUUCAUUUAUUUCCCUUUGUGUCCAAACAUCAGAAAGGCUUUCUGAGUUGCUUGCCUUCCCUAGGCUAAACUUCUCCAUUGGAUCAAUAGCAGGUGGUCAACAAAGACAAAAACACCAUCUUCAGAAUGACUCAGAUCAUCCUCUUGGGCAGCCCUUUUUGGAUAUCUCUAUGAAAUUCUGCAGCUGAAAGCUGACACGCAUAAUUAUUUCCUGUUAGAUACUGAAGAAAAAAAAAAGCCCAGGAGAUAUUGUCGAGACUGUUUCUGGGGUGUGAUUGGGGGAUAGGAGAUGGCCAUCCAGACCCACAGGAAAUGGGCAUUCUUGCUGAAAGUCAUGAAAGCAACUGAUUAUCUGCUAAGUGGAACUCCAGGGAGCAUGUUCAUCCUUACAUCUUACAGAGGAGGCGACUUUGCCAUCCAAUUAGUCCUAUUACCUUCUCACUGGAUCACAAAGGCAUUUAUGGGAAUAAGUCAUUUUUUAAAGGAAGAGAGAAGUGCAUUUAACAUGA